rnacentral:rRNA from 1 species
UACAGAGGUCUCAAGCGUUGUUCGGAUUCAUUGGGCGUAAAGGGUGCGUAGGCGGCGCGGUAAGUCGGGUGUGAAAUCUCGGAGCUUAACUCCGAAACUGCAUUCGAUACUGCCGUGCUUGAGGACUGGAGAGGGGACUGGAAUUUACGGUGUAGCGGUGAAAUGCGCAGAUAUCAGGAGGAACACCAAUGGCGAAGGCAGCACUCUGGGACGUGACUGACGCUGAGACGCGAAAAGCGUGGGGAGCAAACAGG